rnacentral:rRNA from 1 species
GACGAACGCUGGCGGCGUGCUUAACACAUGCAAGUCGAACGGGAAGGCCCUGCUUUUGUGGGGUGCUCGAGUGGCGAACGGGUGAGUAACACGUGAGUAACCUGCCCUUGACUUUGGGAUAACUUCAGGAAACUGGGGCUAAUACCGGAUAGGAGCUCCUGCUGCAUGGUGGGGGUUGGAAAGUUUCGGCGGUUGGGGAUGGACUCGCGGCUUAUCAGCUUGUUGGUGGGGUAGUGGCUUACCAAGGCUUUGACGGGUAGCCGGCCUGAGAGGGUGACCGGCCACAUUGGGACUGAGAUACGGCCCAGACUCCUACGGGAGGCAGCAGUGGGGAAUAUUGCACAAUGGGCGGAAGCCUGAUGCAGCAACGCCGCGUGCGGGAUGACGGCCUUCGGGUUGUAAACCGCUUUCGCCUGUGACGAAGCGUGAGUGACGGUAACGGGUAAAGAAGCACCGGCUAACUACGUG